ACGUAGGUGGCGAGCGUUGUCCGGAUUUACUGGGCGUAAAGGGAGCGUAGGCGGAUUUUUAAGUGAGAUGUGAAAUACCCGGGCUCAACUUGGGUGCUGCAUUUCAAACUGGAAGUCUAGAGUGCAGGAGAGGAGAGUGGAAUUCCUAGUGUAGCGGUGAAAUGCGUAGAGAUUAGGAAGAACACCAGUGGCGAAGGCGACUCUCUGGACUGUAACUGACGCUGAGGCUCGAAAGCGUGGGGAGCAAACAG
rnacentral:rRNA from 2 species